rnacentral:piRNA from 1 species
UGAUGAUGAGAAUGAAGCCAGUAUUGGG